AUUGAACGCUGGCGGCAUGCCUUACACAUGCAAGUCGAACGGCAGCACGGGAGCAAUCCUGGUGGCGAGUGGCGAACGGGUGAGUAAUAUAUCGGAACGUGCCCAGUCGUGGGGGAUAACGCAGCGAAAGCUGUGCUAAUACCGCAUACGAUCUACGGAUGAAAGCGGGGGAUCGCAAGACCUCGCGCGAUUGGAGCGGCCGAUAUCAGAUUAGCUAGUUGGUGGGGUAAAGGCCUACCAAGGCGACGAUCUGUAGCUGGUCUGAGAGGACGACCAGCCACACUGGAACUGAGACACGGUCCAGACUCCUACGGGAGGCAGCAGUGGGGAAUUUUGGACAAUGGGCGCAAGCCUGAUCCAGCAAUGCCGCGUGCAGGAUGAAGGCCUUCGGGUUGUAAACUGCUUUUGUACGGAACGAAACGGUGAGCUCUAAUACAGUUUGCUAAUGACGGUACCGUAAGAAUAAGCACCGGCUAACUACGUGCCAGCCGCCGCAGUAA
rnacentral:rRNA from 1 species